rnacentral:rRNA from 1 species
CCCCUAGAUAUUCUGGGCCGCACGCGCGCUACACUGAACAGUUCAACAAGUCUUAACCUUGGCCGAUAGGUCUGGGUAAUCUUUGAACGCUGUUCGUGAUUGGGAUAGACCUUUGCAAUUAUGGGUCUUCAACGAGGAAUUCCUAGUAAACGCAAGUCAUCAGCUUGCAUUGAUUACGUCCCUGCCCUUUGUACACACCGCCCGUCGCACCUACCGAUUGAAUGGUCCGGUGAAAUCUCGGGACGGCGGCUUGGUCGCUUGCGUCCGACUGCUGAAACUUGAUUAAACCAUAUCAUUUAGAGGAAGGUGAAGUCGUAACA